UUUUUUUUUUGGCAGCUGAAGGAUUGAGAUACCUACAGUGGGUAUGGGGUACAACUGCAACAACCACAUAGCUCUUCUGUGGAUGGCUCCUACUACCUAGAGAAGGCUGGGAAAUACUGGAAUUUCUUCAUGCUUUUACUCUAAACAGAUCCAAUUUUCGAAGAUGAGAAUAGAGGCAAUGGAAGUGAAGUGAACAACAUCAUGGCAUCAGCUUUCACCCUGGCAUAAGGUGAUUAAAUCACCAUCUCAGUGACAAGAUGCAUCGUUGCUGUUGGGAGAAGACAAGUUCAACCUGGCUGCCUCCUAGUACGAGUGCAACUUGGAGGAACCCAGUUACUUCCUGAGAUGGAGUUUUUGUGUGGCUGAACUUUUUUGUUGUCCGCAAUACUGGCUAUAUAUGGAAGAAGAUAAUUUUUUACACACCUUCAGCUGUUGCAGGUGGAGCAAUGGACAUUGUUAAGAAUGCUGAUUUACAAGUGGAACAAAUCUCAAGGCAAAUAUUGUGCUGUGGAGCAGCAAAAUGUGUUAUUUUCAAGCAGAAAGGGAGGCUUAUCAGUGGACGAGGUACCCAAGAUGUGGAGAUGCAUUAAAAGGAAAAUAAUUCAGGUGAAGAACACCUGCUUGGCUGAGAACACCAUUAGAAGUUCCUUUUGUAUCCUUCAGCGCACUUCUACAGUGUUCCUGUCUUCACAAGGCUCUAAUUGGGGGAGAAAAACAAGUAAAGCGCAAAAAAAGGAAAGCCAGAAUCAUGGGAAAAAUCUGGAAACUUCUUAAAGACAACAGAGUUAUGGGCAAGGAGCCAAAGGUUCUGACCUUACUAGUUUGUGCUGAAUGACGGCUUUCCUCCUGCUAAC